UAGUCCUACCUGGGAGUUAUGGUGG
rnacentral:piRNA from 1 species